UAAGUGCAUUCUCCACCUGCAAUGCUCCCUUUGGAGUACGAUCUCAUGGUGUAUGAUCAGGAUAGCUGUCUGUUAUUUCCUCUCAUCUCUAGCUGGUAUUGGAAUAACUUGUCUCUUGUUCAGGACCUAUUAUAAGGAAGGGAUGGCACACAUCUUCUGAGGGCAGGGGAAAAUUUCUUCUCAACACAUUUUCAGAAAACAUUUAUAUUAAUAAGAACCUCAUGAAUAAACUUGAUUUCUCAGACAUGGAUGCAGAAUCUCCUCCAGCUUCUCAAAAGAAGACCAUGUAGUCAUGAAAAUUGUCACAGAUUCUCCAAGUUGCUCCUCACCUCAUUCAUAGUACUUUUACUGCUAUUGAAAAUGUUAUUCUCAGUUGCUCUGAUCACUUUGUUUAAACAACAUACUCAGCUUCCUGAUGAAAAAGCAAUUACGAAAGAACUGAAUUACACUGACCUGGAGUGUACAAAACAGCAUUCACUCUCGAAAG